rnacentral:tRNA from 1 species
GGAGAGGUGGCUGAGUGGUUGAAGGCGUCACUCUCGAAAAGUGAAAUACCUUUACGGGUAUCGAGGGUUCAAAUCCCUCCCUCUCCGCCA